rnacentral:rRNA from 1 species
CAGUCGCCGCGGUAACACAGAGGAUGCAAGCGUUGUCCGGAAUGAUUGGGCGUAAAGGGUGCGUAGGCGGCUUGACAAGUCUUGUGUGAAAUCUAUGGGCUCAACCCAUAGUCUGCACGGGAAACUGUCGGGCUUGAGAAUGGGAGAGGUGAGUGGAAUUUCCGGUGUAGCGGUGAAAUGCGUGGAUAUCGGAAGGAACACCUGUGGCGAAAGCGGCUCACUGGACCAUUUCUGACGCUGAUGCACGAAAGCUAGGGGAGCAAACAGGAUUAGAUACCCGUGUAGUCCCUGUCUCUUAUAC